rnacentral:rRNA from 1 species
ACGGGAGGCAGCAGUGGGGAAUAUUGGACAAUGGGGGAAACCCUGAUCCAGCGACGCCGCGUGAGUGAAGAAGUAUUUCGGUAUGUAAAGCUCUAUCAGCAGGGAAGAUGAUGACGGUACCUGACUAAGAAGCCCCGGCUAACUACGUGCCAGCAGCCGCGGUAAUACGUAGGGGGCAAGCGUUAUCCGGAUUUACUGGGUGUAAAGGGAGCGUAGGCGGCUGUGCAAGUCAGAAGUGAAAGCCCGGGGCUUAACUCCGGGACUGCUUUUGAAACUGCAUGGCUUGAGUGCAGGAGAGGUAAGCGGAAUUCCUAGUGUAGCGGUGAAAUGCGUAGAUAUUAGGAAGAACACCGGUGGCGAAGGCGGCUUACUGGACUGAGACUGACGCUGAGGCUCGAAAGCGUGGGGAGCAAACAGGAUUAGAUACCCUGGUA